rnacentral:rRNA from 1 species
AUUGAACGCUGGCGGCAUGCCUUACACAUGCAAGUCGAACGGUAACAGGUCUUCGGAUGCUGACGAGUGGCGAACGGGUGAGUAAUACAUCGGAACGUGCCCGAUCGUGGGGGAUAACGAAGCGAAAGCUUUGCUAAUACCGCAUAAGAUCUACGGAUGAAAGCAGGGGACCGCAAGGCCUUGCGCGAACGGAGCGGCCGAUGGCAGAUUAGGUAGUUGGUGGGAUAAAAGCUUACCAAGCCGACGAUCUGUAGCUGGUCUGAGAGGACGACCAGCCACACUGGGACUGAGACACGGCCCAGACUCCUACGGGAGGCAGCAGUGGGGAAUUUUGGACAAUGGCGAAAGCCUGAUCCAGCCAUGCCGCGUGCAGGAUGAAGGCCUUCGGGUUGUAAACUGCUUUUGUACGGAACGAAAGACUCUGGUUAAUACCUGGGGUCCAGUGACGGUACCGUAAGAAUAAGCACCGGCUAACUACGUGCACGCA